rnacentral:tRNA from 7 species
GUUAGGAUAGCUCAGCUGGAUAGAGCAACGGUCUUCUAAACCGUAGGUCGUGGGUUCGAAUCCCACUCUUAACACUA